rnacentral:RNase_P_RNA from 1 species
AAAGUAGGCUACCUUAUCGAUUCUACAAUAGUAGAAUAGGAAAGUCCGGACAUCAUAGCGAAUCAUAGCGGAUAACAUCCGUCUGGCGUAAGCCAAGGACAAGUGCAACAGAAAGCAAGUACAGUUAGGCUGUAGUGAAAUCAGGUAAACUCUAUGAGAUGCAAUGUUACGUAUAUUGAAGUCCCGAAAGGGUAAGGAUUUCGCGUCCAAUUUCAAGGGGUAAACAGCUAAAGUUAUGCAGUAAUGCACAACGUAGAUAAAUGAUAAGGGUUUCAGUUCAACUGAAAAACAGAAUCCGGCUUAUUGCCUACUUUUUUU